rnacentral:rRNA from 1 species
GGACGAACGCUGGCGGCGUGCCUAAUACAUGCAAGUCGAGCGGAUUGAYGGGAGCUUGCUCCCUGAUAUCAGCGGCGGACGGGUGAGUAACACGUGGGCAACCUGCCCUGCAGAUGGGGAUAACUCCGGGAAACCGGGGCUAAUACCGAAUAAYCGGUUCUUCCGCAUGGAAGAACUCUGAAAGACGGUUUCGGCUGUCACUGCAGGAUGGGCCCGCGGCGCAUUAGCUAGUUGGUGGGGUAAUGGCCUACCAAGGCGACGAUGCGUAGCCGACCUGAGAGGGUGAUCGGCCACACUGGGACUGAGACACGGCCCAGACUCCUACGGGAGGCAGCAGUAGGGAAUCUUCCACAAUGGACGAAAGUCUGAUGGAGCAACGCCGCGUGAGCGAAGAAGGUUUUCGGAUCGUAAAGCUCUGUUGCGAGGGAAGAACAAGUACGGGAGUAACUGCCCGUACCAUGACGGUACCUCGUCAGAAAGCCACGGCUAA